GAGCGGUUGCGAUUUCUGGCGGUUGGUGGCGGUUGCGAAACUGAUUGGUCAAACCGCCAAACGCUACCGCAGUCAAACUUCAAAAAUCAAAACGCUGCCUUUUGGAUGCGUUUCGGUAGCAUUUCCAUGCGUUUAAAUCAAAUGACCAAAAUAUCCUUAUAACAAAUUAAAAAAAAAAACUAAAACUCUCUUCAUGCUCUCUCGCUUGAAAUCCCCCAUCUUCAUCUCAUCAAACCCUCUCUUCUGUAUUAUUCGAUUAUGGUUUUUCUUCGUCGGAGCUUAUCGGAACUCAUCAUCUCUGUCGUCUUCAGUCAACCGCAAUCGCCACCACCAGUCACUUACCAACCAUUCAGUAUCAACCGUCCACAAUCGCUACCAAACAUUCUGAAAACGCUAUCACCCGCAACCGCAAUCGCUGCGGUACAAUCAGUCAGUUAAAGCCAACAGAACAAAAACACGAGCAAAUAAUUAAUUAGAGGAAUAUGAGCGGCCCAUAGGGAUAGCAGUGGAUGUCUUGGGCCACCUCACAAACUUGAGAGUUCUGAACCUAAUGGGAUCUGCCAGUGUCUCCUCUCUAGAAAUAGGUAAACCUAGUUUGUUUUUUCAUAGAUU